rnacentral:rRNA from 1 species
GAUGAACGCUAGCGGCAGGCCUAAUACAUGCAAGUCGAACGGUAAGGUCUCUUCGGAGAUACACGAGUGGCGCACGGGUGCGUAACGCGUAUGCAACCUACCUCUGACAGGGAGAUAGCCCAAAGAAAUUUGGAUUAAUACCCCAUAAAAUUUCCUGGACGCAUGUCCGGGAUAUCAAAGCUCCGGCGGUCAGAGAUGGGCAUGCGUGACAUUAGCUUGUUGGUGAGGUAACGGCUCACCAAGGCUACGAUGUCUAGGGGUUCUGAGAGGAUACACCCCCACACUGGUACUGAGACACGGACCAGACUCCUACGGGAGGCAG